AGAGUUUGAUCCUGGCUCAGGACGAACGCUGGCGGCGUGCUUAACACAUGCAAGUCGAACGGAAAGGCCCCUUCGGGGGUGCUCGAGUGGCGAACGGGUGAGUAACACGUGGGUGAUCUGCCUCGCACUCUGGGAUAAGCCUGGGAAACUGGGUCUAAUACUGGAUAGGACCGCGCUUUAGUGUGUGUGGUGGAAAGUUUUUUCGGUACGAGAUGAGCCCGCGGCCUAUCAGCUUGUUGGUGGGGUAAUGGCCUACCAAGGCGUCGACGGGUAGCCGGCCUGAGAGGGUGGACGGCCACAUUGGGACUGAGAUACGGCCCAGACUCCUACGGGAGGCAGCAGUGGGGAAUAUUGCACAAUGGGCGCAAGCCUGAUGCAGCGACGCCGCGUGAGGGAUGACGGCCUUCGGGUUGUAAACCUCUUUCGACAGGGACGAAGCUUUUGUGACGGUACCUGUAUAAGAAGCACCGGCUAACUACGUGCCAGCAGCCGCGGUAAUACGUAGGGUGCGAGCGUUGUCCGGAAUUACUGGGCGUAAAGAGCUCGUAGGUGGUUUGUCGCGUCGUCUGUGAAAUUCCGGGGCUUAACUCCGGGCGUGCAGGCGAUACGGGCAUAACUUGAGUGCUGUAGGGGAGACUGGAAUUCCUGGUGUAGCGGUGGAAUGCGCAGAUAUCAGGAGGAACACCGAUGGCGAAGGCAGGUCUCUGGGCAGUAACUGACGCUGAGGAGCGAAAGCAUGGGGAGCGAACAGGAUUAGAUACCCUGGUAGUCCAUGCCGUAAACGGUGGGCGCUAGGUGUGAGGGUCUUCCACGACUUUCGUGCCGUAGCUAACGCAUUAAGCGCCCCGCCUGGGGAGUACGGCCGCAAGGCUAAAACUCAAAGGAAUUGACGGGGGCCCGCACAAGCGGCGGAGCAUGUGGAUUAAUUCGAUGCAACGCGAAGAACCUUACCUGGGCUUGACAUAUACAAGAUCGGCGUAGAGAUACGUUUUCCCUUGUGGUUUGUAUACAGGUGGUGCAUGGUUGUCGUCAGCUCGUGUCGUGAGAUGUUGGGUUAAGUCCCGCAACGAGCGCAACCCUUGUCUUAUGUUGCCAGCACGUGAUGGUGGGGACUCAUGAGAGACUGCCGGGGUUAACUCGGAGGAAGGUGGGGAUGACGUCAAAUCAUCAUGCCCCUUAUGUCCAGGGCUUCACACAUGCUACAAUGGUCGGUACAACGCGUUGCGAGCCUGUGAGGGUGAGCGAAUCGCUGAAAGCCGGCCUCAGUUCGGAUUGGGGUCUGCAACUCGACCCCAUGAAGUCGGAGUCGCUAGUAAUCGCAGAUCAGCAACGCUGCGGUGAAUACGUUCCCGGGCCUUGUACACACCGCCCGUCACGUCAUGAAAGUUGGUAACACCCGAAGCCCAUGGCCCAACCAGUUUCUGGGGGGAGUGGUCGAAGGUGGGAUCGGCGAUUGGGACGAAGUCGUAACAAGGUAGCCGUACCGGAAGGUGCGGCUGGAUCACCU
rnacentral:rRNA from 2 species